rnacentral:rRNA from 1 species
AAUCAACGCUGGCGGCGUGCCUAACACAUGCAAGUCGAACGCGGUUAUCCAGCAAUGGAUAACUGAGUGGCAAACGGGUGAGUAACACGUGGGUGACCUACCUUCGAGUGGGGGAUAACGUCCCGAAAGGGACGCUAAUACCGCAUAACAUCCUGCCUUUGAACAGGCGGAGAUCAAAGCCGGGGAUCGCAAGACCUGGCGCUUGAUGAGGGGCCCGCGUCUGAUUAGCUAGUUGGUGAGGUAAUGGCCCACCAAGGCGACGAUCAGUAUCCGGCCUGAGAGGGCGGACGGACACACUGGGACUGAGACACGGCCCAGACACCUACGGGAGGCAG